CUCUGACACAGGUGCUGCAUGGCUGUCGUCAGCUCGUGUCGUGAGAUGUUGGGUUAAGUCCCGUAACGAGCGCAACCCUUGUCCUUAGUUACCAGCACGUUAUGGUGGGCACUCUAAGGAGACUGCCGGUGACAAACCGGAGGAAGGUGGGGGAUGACGUCAAGUCAUCAUGGCCCUUACGGCCUGGGCUACACACGUGCUACAAUGGUCGGUACAAAGGGUUGCCAAGCCGCGAGGUGGAGCUAAUCCCAUAAAACCGAUCGUGGUCCGGAUCGCAGUCUGCAACUCGACUGCGUGAAGUCGGAAUCGCUAGUAAUCGUGAAUCAGAAUGUCACGGUGAAUACGUUCCCGGGCCUU
rnacentral:rRNA from 1 species